rnacentral:rRNA from 1 species
GGGGAAAGAUUUAUCGCCAAAGGAUUAGCCCGCGUUAGAUUAGGUAGUUGGUGGGGUAAUGGCCUACCAAGCCUACGAUCUAUAGCUGGUUUUAGAGGAUGAUCAGCAACACUGGGACUGAGACACGGCCCAGACUCCUACGGGAGGCAGCAGUGGGGAAUCUUGGACAAUGGGGGCAACCCUGAUCCAGCCAUGCCGCGUGAGUGAUGAAGGCCUUAGGGUCGUAAAGCUCUUUCGCCUGUGAAGAUAAUGACGGUAGCAGGUAAAGAAACCCCGGCUAACUCCGUGCCAGCAGCCGCGGUAAUACGGAGGGGGUUAGCGUUGUUCGGAAUUACUGGGCGUAAAGCGCACGUAGGCGGAUCGGAAAGUUGGGGGUGAAAUCCCGGGGCUCAACCCCGGAACUGCCUCCAAAACUAUCGGUCUAGAGUUCGAGAGAGGUGAGUGGAAUUCCGAGUGUAGAGGUGAAAUUCGUAGAUAUUCGGAGGAACACCAGUGGCGAAGGCGGCUCACUGGCUCGAUACUGACGCUGAGGUGCGAAAGUGUGGGGAGCAAACAGGAUUAGAUACCCUGGUAGUCCACACCGUAAACGA